UAGUAUUGAAAGUCCCACCUUCCAGGAAACCCCAGUCCCGAGCAAACCAGGCCGGUUGGUCGCCCUACUUGCCAAUCUCGCCUGUUGACGGCAAAGCCAGAGACAGGAGAGCCACACCCCUGCGCUUUGCUCCAGCAACAGGGAACUGCCUGUUUCCCUGCUGAGUUUAAUCUCCUUCCCUUUACCCACAUGGCCGCCCUUCCCCUUCCCGGCCCCCUAACUUACCUGUCACCCUGUCAUCCUCCAGGCAUCACUCCCCGUCCAAGGCCUUCCAUCACACCUCUGGCGCAGGUCCUCAUUCUGCAUCAUCAUAGUCAAUUUUAUCUUGGGCACCAUAAAAUUCUACUUCUUCUCGCAGUAGCAGGUGAUGUCACCCACAGAACAUAAUGGAUUCUAGGAACAGGCCCACAAGAGGAAAAGUGGGAUGUUUGUUCUGAGAAAACUAAAAAUACUUUGUUUAAAUUGGAUCACAUUUUACCAGUUAAGUGAACCUUACCAGGUAAGUCUCCAGGUUUGGAUAUUAACUCUUUCUAUUUGGGUUUUUCCCCUCUAAAUUUCUCCCUUCAGUAGAAGGUGUUCACUUUUAUCAACAGUGAUUUCAUAAACCACUCAAAGUCGGAAAAAACUGCUAUCGGAGCACCAUUGCUGUCAUUCAUUUUCCAAGACCCUGUGUCUUAUUCUCAGCAUUACAUGCAUUCUAUGAUGAUAAGCUGGGUUAUCAGAAAGGAGUCACUGGGAACAUGCGAGAAGAGAAAAAAACAGAACUAGUAACAUUAAAAUAAUCAAACUUUUACCCUCAAACAGAUAAUGAAUGAAUUGCCUAGCUGUACAAUUAUGGACCAAAUAUAUGUAAAAAUUAUACAAAUGAGCAUGUGUUUCCUCCUGUUUUAUAGCUUGACCCCAUAAAUCAUAGGCCUCAAAAAAAUCCCAAUACGGAGCCUUUCCCUAAAGAAGUUAAUAUCACCCAUUUUAGGCAAAUUUGUCAAGGAUCAUAUGGCAAAGUCAGGCUCAGCCAAAAAUUGAAGCCACUAAUGCUGAUGCCAAGCUGAUUAAAUGUUUCCUUAAAUAUCUAAAUUGUCUAUCAAAUGCUGUUUUAAGUAUCUGAAGACUAGUACUCAGACUCUUACACUAUUUAAGCUUCAGUUCUCCAAGGCUGUCUGCUUUUGCUGCAUUUUGCAUAAAAGCCAUUUUUUUCCUCUAUUUGAGUUAAUUUUCCAGGUUCUCCUCAAAUAAUCCUUGGGCUUCUGGAACAAAAGCUUACAGAAACAGGAUAAACAGUUUGAACUCUGACUUUUGUUUUCCAUUUGUAAGAACGUGAUUUUUUUUUCAACUUUCUAAUCACAGUCAUAAAAUUAAGCCUGGUUUUCAGAACGAAGUUUACCUGAUUCUCAAGUCCCCUAUCUUCAAAAAUUGCACAUUUGAUGGCAAAAUACAAAAUCUGUCUGAAAAGGUCUUGUUUUACUGUUAGCUCGAGAAGAGACUUCUACUUCAAGAAAAUCAAAGGAUUGUUUCUCACCCUAAAGGAAAGCUGUGUUGGAAAGCUUGGCAAAAUUAUACCUGGUCAUUUAUAAUUUUUCAUUAGACACCUGGGAAAUGUUCUUCACUAAAAGAAACCUUUUAAAAUUCCUGAAGAAUUAGCCUCCUUGCUCACCAGCAUUAUGAGAACAUUGACCCAAAUCUGGGACUGAGGAACCAAAUACCACUUCUCCCCGUUGCCUGCCGUCCCACUAAACAUACUCUACAAAUUACCAGUCACCAACUGUCCAUCAGUGUCCAAACUGCCACUGCUGAGAAUGAUUUAUUACACAGCAUCGAUUAUCAGGGACAGUAACACAGAUAACUUUUCCUUUCUGGAAAACUUUUGCCAUAAGAAAAAAUAUAUUCACAAGUGUACCAAAAAAAAAUUCAAUUCCUAUCAUUGUGGAUAUACAUAACCAGAGCUGAAUUUUUUUCAUGAAGAGUUUGAAUAUAUAAAACUCUUGAAUCUACAUUAAAAACUAAACCAUGAAGAAAUGUCCCAAAAAGUAGGUAUUAGCGUACAUGACACAAUAUGAAAUGUAUCUAAGUAUCGUUCUCUGAUAACACCCAUCUAUAUUCAUGUCUCCCUCCCUUGUUCCUUUUGUAUUUAAAACCUGACAUGUCAAUCAGCAUCUUACAUAAAUUGUAUUUCGUAGCAUUUAUUAGCUGAGUGUUGAAAUCAUAUUGAUUAUGUCACCAUAAGAUGUUCUAUAGAAUAAUCUUGUUUAUUAAUCACUUGGGGUCUCUGUAACUUGUUUCUGAAUGAGAUUGUCAGAUCUGUGUUGACAGAGCUCUGUCUAGCAGUUCUUUUUCCCUCAUGGAGCUAAAAAUAUCAGAGUAGCACAGCGAGCUGCCUCUCCACCUGCCUCCCAGAGUGGGGACCCUAGCUCCAUGGUCCCCUUCCUCCAGAAUAAUGUGGAGGCACAGGGUCACCCAGCUAGACUUCAUUUUCCAAGUCUACCCUGCAACUAGAAGUGGCUUGCCAAUGUAUUUUGAGAAGUAAUGUGUAUAAUUUCCAUGUUUCUUGCGUAAGAGGAAAUGGCUAUGGGGAGAGGUUGAUCAACAGGCACAAAGUCGCAGUUAGAUGGGAGGAGUCAGUUCUGGUGUUCCAUCGCACAGCAGGGCGACUGUGGCUAACAAUAAUGCAUUGUAUAUUUCAAACUAACUAGAAGACAGGAUUUUGAAUGCUUUACCGCAAAGAAAUGAUAAAUGUUUGAAAUGAAGGAUUUGCUAAUUACUCUGAUUUCAUCAUUAUACAAUGCACACAUGUGUCAAAACCUUUCAUUUUUAUCCCAUGAAUAUGUACACUUACUAUAUGACAAUUGAAGUUAAAAUAAAAAUUUAUUUUAAAAAUG